CUGGCCAUGGCCAUCGUGCUGGGCACACUGAUCGCCGGGCAGUACGGCUUCCUGCCCGUCAGAACCAAGCAGGUGGUGAAGAAGCUGCAGCGGCUUCACUACGAGUCCCACCUGGAGCCGCCCCACCGCCGACACCGCCGCGCGCUCGGCGAGGAGGCGCUGGACUGGCUGCUGCAGACGCUUCAUACGCUGGAUGAGGCAACAGCCCGCCUUGCAAACGGCCAACGAACUGGAGGCAAACGGAGCGGCACGUGGAAAUAGGCCAUUCUGAACCUGCGACUGGUGACGCUGACUGAACAAUGCCUCAAAGACUCUGCAGCGGCUCUGCAUGGAACCCAUUUUUGACAUCACACCCAGGAAAAUAGUCAUGAGAACUGUGGCAGCGCUUGAGCUGGCAACGGCCAUUUGAGAGCUUUUAUAAGUUCAGUUUGAUCUUUCGCCUUGUCGAUGACAGGUUUGUGUGCCAUUGACAAUGUUUCAAGAUCAUGCAGGCUCAGAUGGAUAUGUGCGACUGGUAAACGUCUAACUGAUCGGGUCUUCAAGUCAUCCAGGCUGCCAACGUGCAAUUUUGGCUGUUGAAUUGAUGCGUUGUUACGAUGACCUGUUUCAUACGUUUCACAUUGCUUUUUACCACAUAGCCUAUGUAUGUGUGACAACAUGAUGCUCUAAGGUGUUUUAUUGGAGCUGUUCCGUUAUUUUUUGGCUAUAUGUGCAAAUGUGUCCAAUAACUUAGUCUUUAUGUACCUUCUGCCUUUAUUUGUUUGGAGGCACUGGCCAUUUUCCGCUUGCAUUAUUAGACAAGAACCUGAUUUGGUACCAACUAUAAAAUCCACUGAAACAGGAUGAGCAGGGAAGAAACUUAUCAUUCGUCGCCACCUUUAUCAAAGUAGUCAGUUCAUUUUGCUCCACAACAGCUUUUGUUUCGUCAUUAUCUACCAAGUUAUUAGUUAAUUUUGAGAACUUGGUACGAUGGGGCAAAAUUAUAAACAGCGCAAACGUGAAAUGGCGAAUAGGUGCAGCAUAAACCAGUAGAACGCCUGCGGAAUUUUUUUUCGUUUCUUCUUACAGCCCGGACGACAAACCACGGGUUUUGCUCAUGCUCGUCACAUUUGUUGUAAAUUCGAUUUCGCACCACAUGGGGUCUCUGUCUAAUGAUGAGAAUAAAGCAUGCAUAUC